UGCUAGGAAGCAAAUCGGUGCUGUUGCCUACAUCGAGUGUAGCUCGAAAACCCAGCAGAAUGUAAAGGCAGUGUUUGAUGCUGCGAUCAAGGUGGUCCUCCAACCUCCAAAGCAGAA